GGGGGGGGGGGCUCAGUCGUUAGGCAUCGACUGCAGCUCAGGUCACGAUCUCCCGGUUCGUGGGUGCGAGCCCCGCGUGGGGCUCUGUGCUGCCAGCUCAGAGCCUGGAGCCUCUUCACAUUCUGUGUCUCCCUCUCUCUUUGCCUCUCUCUCUCUCUCUCUCUCUCUCUCUCUCUCUCUCUCUCUCUCUUUCAAAAAUAAGUAAACAUUAAAAAUAUUUUUAAAAAAAAGAAUUCAGGUCAUUGGCUUUCAGUUUUGGGUUUUCAUCCCUCCCCUUCCCAUUCUUGUUGAUUUCAUAUUAAUUUUUGAAACUGUAGAACCUUCACAAAUGUAGCUUUCGAAAGGUAAAGGCUUACCAGAAAGUACAGUCAGAGAAACGUUCUUCCAUAUUCCUUUACGCCCAGUUCUACCCUUUUACAUCCCCAGCUUCCCUGGCCAUCUGUGACUAAUGCUGCGUGUGUACAUGUUCCUCACUCUGGACAUUUAAGGGGAAAAUGCUUUUAGGGGCCAAACAAGCAGAGUACGUCGAAGAGGACCGGUCUUGCCCAACAGGAACGUCUUCACCACUAAACUCCUGUAUGAACAUGAUUACUCGAACUUUCCCUUCGGCUGUCUUGCCCUGUGGGGGUCCCGCUGUUCAGAAGAGUCUCUGUCCCCUCGUCACAACCCAGGCACACAUUAAAAAGUAUUUCGAUUAGUAAUUUUCUUUGUAAAAUCUGUCUUCUGCGAAUGUGUCAGAAGGAGUAUUUUGCUUCCUCGUUUGUCCAUGGAAUUUGGUGUCCAUUUGGAAUGUUUUAUUCUAGUGGAUUCCAGUGUUUUCUACCAUUUCACAUCUAACUUCUUUGUUUCUUGUGUUUCUCCUAACGUUCCCGUGAAUCUAGUUUGCGCACGCAUGGACAAGGAGAGGCUAGAAAAGACACCUUCCCGGUUCCGGCACAUAACGUUGCUCCAGAGAAGAAUUUGCAGCCCAUUACGAUGGACUCGAAAGGAGUGUCGUGAAAUCGUGCGCAGGAAUAGACACGCGAGUGAAAGAAGCAGGAAACCCACCCAAGUAAAAAGGCAGCUUUGCAGUAACCAGCGGCCUGGGCAAAAGAAACUGAUUCGAGGAGGAAACUGAGACUUUCUGGAUCGGUUUUGUCUUUGGACAGAAAUCGUCAAGCCAGCCACACUCCUACCACCUCACCCUGGGCCAUCCUCUCUUUCCUGCCUGUGCCAGCCUUCUCCAGAGA
rnacentral:lncRNA from 1 species